CCCUUAGAUGUCCUGGGCCGCACGCGCGCUACACUGAUGCAUGCAACGAGUUUAUAACCUUGGCCUGAAAGGUCUGGGUAAUCUUUUGAACGUGCAUCGUGAUAGGGAUAGAUUAUUGCAAUUGUUAAUCUUGAACGAGGAAUUCCUAGUAAACGCGAGUCAUCAGCUCGCAUUGAUUAUGUCCCUGCCCUUUGUACACACCGCCCGUCGCACCUACCGAUUGAAUGGUUCGGUGAAGAUCUCGGACUUCGAUAUUUAUUCUUUAUUGAGUUUAUAUUGUGGGAAGUUAUCUAAACCUCAUCAUUUAGAGGAAGGUGAAGUCGUAACA
rnacentral:rRNA from 1 species